CUCAAAGGAAUUGACGGGGACCCGCACAAGCGGUGGAUGAUGUGGUUUAAUUCGAUGCAACGCGAAAAACCUUACCCACCUUUGACAUGGCAGGAAGUUUCCAGAGAUGGAUUCGUGCUCGAAAGAGAACCUGCACACAGGUGCUGCAUGGCUGUCGUCAGCUCGUGUCGUGAGAUGUUGGGUUAAGUCCCGCAACGAGCGCAACCCUUGUCAUUAGUUGCUACGAAAGGGCACUCUAAUGAGACUGCCGGUGACAAACCGGAGGAAGGUGGGGAUGACGUCAAGUCCUCAUGGCCCUUAUAGGUGGGGCUACACACGUCAUACAAUGGCCGGUACAAAGGGUCGCAAACCCGCGAGGGGGAGCCAAUCCAUCAAAGCCGGUCGUAGUCCGGAUCGCAGUCUGCAACUCGACUGCGUGAAGUCGGAAUCGCUAGUAAUCGUGGAUCAGCAUGUCACGGUGAAUACGUUCCCGGGUCUUGUACACACCGCCCGUCACACCA
rnacentral:rRNA from 1 species